GACGCACGAUGGCCCACAGCCAGUCUCGGAAGCGAUCGCGAAGCAGGAGCAAAAGCGAUUCUCGGAGCAGGCAGGAGAGGAAGGAGAAGAAAAGGAGGAAAAGCAGCAAGGACUCAUGCCGGGGCAGCAGUUCUCCUCCGAGGAAGCGGAUCUCUGGGUCUCACAGACACAAGUCGAGCUCAGUGGCAGCUAGGGAAGAAAAGAAGAAGGAAGGAAAGGACAAAAAGAAGAGGAAGGCAAGUACCUCUUCCUCUGCGACAGCAUCUUCAUCCGCCGGCUCCUCCUCGUCUUCCUCUUCCUCCAGCUCCUCUUCUGAUGACUCGAGUGACAGUGACUCCAAAACGAAGAAGAGUCGACACAGCAAAAAAAAGCGAGUGAAACAGAAAGACAAAAAGAAGAAGAAGAAGAGAAUGAAGAAGAAAGCAAAAAAGAAGUCAAAGGAAAGGGCUAAGGAGGAGAAAGCCAAGGGAGAAGUGGCGCCCGGCCCCUCGCUGGAGCAGUGGCAGAAGGAGUCGCUGGUGGACUCUGGACCAGUUUUGACAGAUGAACAAAAAUCCCGAAUCCAGGCUAUGAAGCCAAUGACAAAGGAAGAAUGGGACGCAAGGCAGAGUGUCAUAAGGAGAGUCGUGGAUCCCGAAACGGGGAGAACCAGGCUUAUUAAGGGAGACGGAGAAGUACUAGAAGAAAUCGUCAGCAAGGAGAGACACAAGGAGAUUAACAAGCAAGCCACCCGGGGGGACGGGCUGGCCUUCCAGGUGAGGACGGGGAUGCUGCAGUGAGCGCGCAAGCGCCAGCCAUGCCGGGAGCCUGUCCUGCUGCUGGCGCCAGCCCAGGCGUGAGCCUCUGUCUCUGGAUCACGUAGACAGCACUGCGUCAGGAUUCUUCCCCAGGGGCAGUUUCCAUCCGCUCUCAAUAAAGGUCCUGCUCUACAAUUGCUUCUCCGUGUUGGAUCCGUACAAUGGCAACAGAUGGGGGCCAGGGAAAGGACCCGGGCAAGUUUCAAGCAGCUCAACAAAGGAUGAGGACGGAGGUGCUAUGAUUGUCAGUCUAACUGGUUAGUAGCUGUUUAAAACAUGAAGUGAUGGAGAGGUGAGUAUAAUAUUGCACUUCUGCAUUCAUUGACAGUUACAUUGAACUUGGUCCAUAAAAUAAUUGCUUUGUACAUAAUGCCUGAAACAAAAAGCUACAUUUUUAAAUAUUAAUAAACCCUGAAGGUUCCAGUCCCUCCAGACAUUUUUUUUCCCUCUACAUAAAUAAAUAACUUUCAAUUUUAUAUAUCCACUUUUUACGUUGAACAUUUACAUUUGCCUCUGUUUUACACUAUCUACACAUAAGAAAAUGUGAACAUCUUGUCAGCAUUGGAAAAUGUACAGAUCAUGCCUUUUCAUGGAGGAAAGUUGAAUUUUGCAAAGGCCAUAUCCAAAUUUGCAGAAAUUAUUGUGUGAUGUGGUUUGGUGACUUCACAGGAUGGAUUGUGGCUUGGCUUCCUACGCAGAUGGCAUCUGUUUGAUAAAACAUUCGACUAGCGAGAAGCUGGGACAAUUCACAUUGUUUUUAAACCCAGUAAGCUCUGGAUGUACAUUCAGAGAGAGCUAAGCUGAGUCGGCAGAAAGGGAAGUCAGUUCUCGGUAACAAAAGUCAUCAGAUACAUUCUGUAAUUGAGUAAUUCUCAAAGAGAAGCGGUUAAACAUUUUGCAGGCAGGCUGCAAGACGUGGGAGAUGCACUGGGCGGCGGGCGGGCAGUUGGGUUUGAGCGCUCCACGGGCUUGGAUGCCGUCGGCAGCUCAGCACUGUCCCUCCUCUGCCUCCGCUUCGACCCUCCAGCGCCACGAACACGUGAGAUCUACCUUGGAUGUCUGAUGAGUUUAGAUUUGCCUACCGUG